rnacentral:lncRNA from 1 species
GCUGCUACAGGCACAUCGUGAAACACCCCCACAAUGUAUCACACCGACUGGUCCAUCCCGACCCCGCCGAGCUUCGAGCGGAAGGUCCCCACGCCGACGACACAGCCUCAUCGCUGGCCUUAUCCUUUGACCUCGACGCUUCGUGCUACGCCACCGUUUGUCUGAGGGAAAUGAUGAAGGACGACAUUUAAACCCACACCCUAAGGUAGCUGCGAGCCCGCCAUUAGGUAGCUGUGGUUCCUAGGGCUCGCUCGACCUUGAGCUUCGCGGUUGCUGCUCCUCGGUUUUCACAGUAUCCUGAGUGGCGUAUUAACGUAAGCAUCGGUGUCUACGUUUAAAGCUCCAGGACCGUGGUCUUUAAGGACAUGUCAUGCUUUAGAGAAUUUUGCUCCAGUCACGAAAGCUCCAGAUCUUUGGAGCACUGCUCUGAGCCCCGGGGCUGCUGCACAUCACACUUAAGAGAGAGGCAGAGAGAGGACACGGUCCACACUGCUUAAAGGUAAAGCCAGGUGACAGUGAAACCCUGGUGACCGGACCAGAGAGGCUUUUCUCCAUCACUGCGCGCGAGGUGGCUGGUUUAACACCGUGCAAGGGCGAUAUCUGUUCUCAUAAUCUGUUUAUGAGAUCAUUUUUGAGGAAGACUGAAAAUUUUAAUUAAAAAUUUUUAUACUAGUUUUUUUAUACCUGUUCCCCUAACUCUUUGUUAUGUUUUCUGUCAUCUGAAACUCAGAUUUUAGACUCCUGUUUGUACCCACAUUCUGUUUCAAUGUCACUGGACAUGGUGUUGAUUCUUUUUUAAAAUAAAGAUAGUCUUGAUGACCUGA